GCUCUGCAUUCACAGAUCCUCCCAUUCUGUGAUCAUUAUUGAGCCCAGAACAUCUGACAUGGAGUUGAGACUGAGCUGGGUUUUCCUCAUUGUCCUUUUAAAAGGUAUCCAGUGUGAGGUGCAGCUUGUGGAGUCAGGGGGAGGCCUGGUGCAGCCGGGGAGUUUCCUAAAGCUCUCCUGUUCAGCCUCUGGAUUCACUGUCAGUGCUGCCUGGAUGAACUGGGUCCGCCAGGCUCCAGGGAAGGGGAUGGAGUGGGUUGGCACAAUUAAACACAGACCAGAUAAUUAUGCAGCAUCCUAUGCGGAUUCUGUGAAAGGCAGAUUCACCAUCUCAAGAGACGAUUCCAAAAGCAGCAUCUACCUGCAAAUGAACAGCUUAAAACCCGAAGACACGGCCAUUUAUUACUGUACUGGACAUGGCACAGUGAGAGAUCUUCAGACAAAAAAAUCUUCCUGCAGAAGUGCUCAGAACCAGCAGGGGGCGCAGAGCGCACAUGGAAAACAAGCACAUUGCAGAAACAGGUGCAGACAUAAUUGA